rnacentral:rRNA from 1 species
CCUACGGGCGGCUGCAGUGAGGAAUAUUGGUCAAUGGGCGCGAGCCUGAACCAGCCAAGUCGCGUGAGGGAAGACGGUCCUCUGGAUUGUAAACCUCUUUUGUCGGGGAGCAAAAGACGCCACGCGUGGCUUUCCGAGAGUACCCGAAGAAAAAGCAUCGGCGAACUCCGCGCCAGCCGCCGCGGUAAUACGGGGGAUGCGAGCGUUAUCCGGAUUUGUUGGGUUUAAGGGGUGCGCAGGCGGAAGAUCAAGUCAGCGGUAAAAUUGAGAGGCUCAACCUGUUCGAGCCGUUGAAACUGGUGUUCUUGAGUGAGUGAGAAGUAUGCGGAAUGCGUGGUGUAGCGGUGAAAUGCAUAGAUAUCACGCAGAACACCGAUUGCGAAGGCAGCAUACCGGCGCUCAACUGACGCUCAUGCACGAAAGUGUGGGGAUCGAACAGGAUUAGAUACCCCAGUAGUC